rnacentral:miRNA from 1 species
GACGUCGAUAUUCGACGUCAUAAACACGAGCAAGUUUGGUGUUUAUGACGUCGAUAUUCGACGUCAUAAACACGAGCAAGUUUGGUGUUUAUGACGUCGAUAUUCGACGUCAUAAACACGAGCAAGUUUGGUGUUUAUGACGUCGAUAUUCGACGUCAUAAACACGAGCAAGUUUGGUGUUGAUGACGUCGAUAUUCGACGUCAUAAACACGAGCAAGUUUGGUGUUUAUGACGUCGAUAUUCGACGUC